rnacentral:lncRNA from 1 species
GUGAAGAUGCUGGAGAUUGACGAGGCGUAAAAGUUAUAGAUAUUAAACAACCAAAUGAAACAAGUAGUUGCUUGGUCCAGUGGUUACCAAUCUGCCAUUAAAUUCUGAGGUUGUGUCCUUGCUGGGUACCUAUUUUGUGAAAAUUUAGUAUUAAUUUUUUUUUUUUGGCAAUAUUAAAUCAAACGUUGGUGUAUAUAUGAUUUUUUUUUUAAGCUAUGAAAUUUAAAUCUACUUCAUUGUAAUUCACAUAAAU